rnacentral:lncRNA from 1 species
GGCCCUCCUACACCUGAAUAAAUCUUAAGAAAGAAAAUAAAGCUUCAUGGCUUGCAAGUCCCUAUUAAGGAACUACCAGUGCUGGAGUUCUUGGCAUCAAAACCUCAUCUCUAUAAGAAUAGGUAAUAUUACCAGCUGGUGCUAUUUGGAAGAAUGAAAUAAGUCAGAGUGUUCUGGAUAUGCUACACUUGUUGACAAAGAUGUAUAAGCAAAGUACAUUGUGGUUUGUUCAUGGAUUAAACAAUUCAGCAUUUUGGACCUAAUCUGGAAUGACGUUGCUGCUUUAGGUGGUGUUUUGAUGCUCAGAAGAUCACGGACUACUCAUUGUCUGCAUGGCUCACAGAAGUAAUAGGGUAGGAAACCCAGCCACGUUUUCAAAAGCCUUUUGAAAAUAAUGCUUUUGGUUUUGAUCUUACA